rnacentral:lncRNA from 10 species
GCGUGCGGGGGUGGAGCCCACAUGUAGAUCCCCCGCCCCCGCACACAGGGUCAAAGUUAGCUGGGAUCAGGGAUGACGGGGGGGUGAGAAGAAGCGUGGAUUUUAUGAAGAGUAGAAGAAACAGAUGUUUGUUAAGACCUAACAUGUGGGAGGCACUGCUGUGGACAGGAGUGAGUGAGACGCAGGGCCGGUCUUCAUGGAGUUUACAAGCUGGCGGGGGAUACAGCCCUGUGGACAGAUAACUGUCAUUACACGGGCUAAACACUAGCAUAGGGGGAAUUCUAGGAGAUACAGGGACCCACAGGUAUGGCACCAGACUAUGGGGUCAGAAUAAGAUCUCACCACAGAGGUAUGAGCAAAAAGAAACAGGAUAUGGUCUGUUCCUUUCAAGCUUCCCACAGGGGCCAGGAGCCCCUUUUGCAGGAUGUCUUAAUAAAUGGGACAUAAAGGUACCCAUUUGUCUAGAGUGCAGUGUUGGCUGCAGACAGUGAACAUAUGAAAUGAUGCCCUUAAAAUGCCCUUUGGCUCAAAACGAGUCCCCUUCCCUGACCCUAGCUUUAGAAAUCAAAAGGAAGAUGAUCAUGUCAUGGGACCCCAAAUUACACUCACACUGCAGGUGAAACACUGGGGUGACUUUCACACGCACAGCUAAGAAGGAAGCCAGUUUCCGUAUGACUGCAAGUGCACAGAAAAUCUAGCAUGCCGAACAGGAGGAGCAGUGGAGGGGAGUGCUCGCUUAGGAGGGACCCAGGAGCAUGCAGAGCCUCUGUCCUGAAUCUGCUCCCUCUAUGUAAGGAGGCCAUGAAUAAGGUACCCAUUCCAAGAACAACAGCAAGGGGAGGGUUAGGAGACAUUCUCAUCCAAUGUGAAUAUAAAAAUCUUAAGAAGAAAACAAUACCCACUGCUUUCUGUUCCAUUGUCCCAGCUUACUGUGUGAUUUUCUGUUAGGAGAACUGUACCCACAGCUUUAAUUUGAUGCAUUUGCUGGAUCAUGCUUUUUUAAACAAAUAUAAAGCAGAGAAGAAAAAAAAUCCAAGGUAGAUUUCAGUUAAACUAUCACCACCACGACUCUCCAAUUCACUCCCGUGUAGAAAAUGUGCAUUUGUUUCUACGGAGCAUGUGUAGACAGCCCUAGCUCCCUGGAAGAGAGAUCUGAGGGAAGGCCAUUAUGGACGCACAGUGGUCUUAACACAGCGAAACUCCUCUCUUCAGUAGCUUUUUUUUUUUUUUUUUUUUUUUGAGACAGAGUCUUGCUCUGUUGCCCAGGCCGGAGGCAGUGGUGCGAUCUAGGCUCACUGCAACCUCCGCCUCCCAGGUUCAAGUGAUUCUCCUGCCUCAGCCUCCCAAGUAGCUAGACUAUGGGUAUGCCCCACUACACCCAGCUAAUUUUUGUAUUUUGAGUAGAGAUGGGAUUUCACUAUGUUGGCCAGGCUGGUCUUAAACUCCUGAUCUCAGGUGAUCCACUCGCCUGGGCCUCCCAGAGUGUUAGGAUUACAGGCGUGAGCCACCACGCCCAGCCAGUAGCUCUUUUAAAAAUAAACUGGGCUGGGCAUGGUGGCUCACACCUGUAAUCGCAGCACUUUGGGAGGCCAAGGCUGGAGGAUCGCUUGAGGCCAUGAGUUCGAGACCAGCCUGGGCAACACAGCAAGACUGCAUGUCUCUACAAAAAAGUUUAAAAGUAGCUGGGUGUGGUGGUGAGUGUAGUCCCAGCUACUUGGGAGGCUGAGGCAGGAGGAUCGUUUGAGCCCAGGAGGUUGAGGCUGCAGUGAGCCUUGAUGGUGCCACUGCACUCCAGUGACAGAACGAGACCCUGUCAUACACACACAAAAAAUUAAAAUAAAUUGCCUACUUUAAAAAUAAAGACAAGGUGGGGCGCAGUGGCUCAUGCAUGUAAUCCUAGCACUUUGGGAAGACGAGACAGGUGGAUCACUUGAGGUCAGGAGUUCGAGAGCAGCCUGGCCAACAUGGCGGAACCCCGUCUCUACUAAAAAUACAAAAAUUAGGCGAGCUAAGAGAUCACAGCACUGCACUCCAGCCUGGGUGAUGGAGCGAGACUCUGUCUCAAAAAAAUAAAAAUAAAAUAAAAAUUAAUACAGGUGUUGGGAAUGAGGUCUGGGAGGUGGCUGUCAUUUAUCUCUAAAAUCAUGCUAGAAGCUAAAUAUAUAAUCAUUUUUCCUCCACGUUGUUUCCAUGGGCUUAGAAGAGGGAAAAAAUGGCACUUAGUGUUACUAGGACCAAAAGACAGCUCCUCCUACUAAAAGAUCAUCCUGGAGUUGCUUAACUGAAUAUUUAUGACAUACUAACAUCCUUUGGGGGAAAACACGUUUCGAAAUAAUCAAUUAAAAAAAGCAAAGUGAUCAAUGACAGCUGUUUAAACACCACCUGGAAAAAUAGGAUUUACUCCACAGCAGCUCCCUGGGUGCAGAGAUCUUGGUGCAGAUCCCAUUUCGCUGACUUGCUUUCUCUCCUUAGACAAAUGUGUGUGGCGGGGCUGAGUACCUGCUCAUGUCCUUUUCUGGGGACGCCACACAUGGCUGGUUUCUGGCCCUUGGGGACAGUGGCUCAGGUCCAGAGGAGAACCCUUACUGGCUGUAGUGUGGUGGGCACAGCAGGGGUGGGCCGGUUCACCUCCUGGCUUUGAAGAAAUGGGUUCUCUCCUAUGGCAUCUGUGAUUCCCAAAGUCCUCAAUCAAGCAGGAAGGGGGUGAGUCGAUGGCUCUUCCCAAGGCCUUCUCCUCCCAUGGACAGCUUCUCUGUCCGAGUUCUCUCGCCGUUUCUCCCCCUUUACUCCAUCCCAAGAGGCACUUGUGAGCUUCAAGGGCAUCUUCUAAAUAUUAC